GAUGAAGAACGCAGCGAAAUGCGAUAAGUAGUGUGAAUUGCAGAAUUCAGUGAAUCAUCGAAUCUUUGAACGCGCAUUGCGCCCCUUGGUAUUCCAUGGGGCAUGCCUGUUCGAGCGUCAUUUGUACCUUCAAGCUCUGCUUGGUGUUGGGUGUUUGUCUCGCCUCUGCGUGUAGACUCGCCUCAAAACAAUUGGCAGCCGGCGUAUUGAUUUCGGAGCGCAGUACAUCUCGCGCUUUGCACUCAUAACGACGACGUCCAAAAGUACAUUUUUACACUCUUGACCUCGGAUCAGGUAGGGAUACCCGCUGAACUUAAGCAUAUCAAUAAGCGGAGGA
rnacentral:misc_RNA from 1 species